ensembl:lncRNA
GUAAGCUCUUUAUUUCAUUACUCCUUUGUAAUGCAAUAAUCUCUCUGGUCCUAUACCUAUUUACCUUAUAAUCUGUAUACCUGUUUGCCAUACAGAUGUGUUCCUGCAGAUUGAGGAGGUACCUGCUUGGUGGGGACAAGCAAUUGGAAAAAAGGGUUUAUAAGAGUGUAUUUUCUUCUUGGACAGAUGGUGUUCCUUCUGAGGUAGAAGAGGAGCAUUUAUUAUGAGAGAAAAAAAAAGAUGGCUGUCUCUAUCUUUGAGUUCAUGUGUGCUGUCACAGGAAACAAAACCUGCCUGCUAUUUUUGGGUACUAUUAAGUGCAUAACAGGAGGUCAAAUGCCUUCCACUCUCUUCUUGUGGAAGAAAGAAGUUACCACUGUAUUAAGCCUAAAAGUCUUAGAGUAAACAGUUUGAAUUUGAAAACAUUCAAAAGAUUAUUUACCACUUCCUUUUCUUACUCAAAUAAUUUUCACAGUUAAAAAUUUGAGCAUUAUUUCCUGUAUCACUUUCCUUACAGCUUCUAUAGAUUGUUUCUUCAUAGUCCUUUCUCUGCUUUUUUUUCCUUGCUAAGAUGCACUAUACUACUGGCUAUACUGCCAAACAACAUAUUUUCAAAGUACCAGUCCCAGAACUGGAAAUUGUAUUCU